rnacentral:rRNA from 1 species
UACGAAGGGUGCAAACGUUGCUCGGAAUUAUUGGGCGUAAAGCGCACGUAGGCGGCAUUGCAAGUCGGAUGUGAAAUCCCUCGGCUUAACCAAGGAAGUGCAUCCGAAACUGCUGUGCUUGAGUACUUAAGAGGAUCGCGGAAUUCCCGGUGUAGCGGUGAAGUGCGUAGAGAUCCGGAAGAACACCAGUGGCGAAGGCGGCCCGCUGGGCAGUGGCUGACGCUGAAGCGCGACAGCGUGGGGAGCAAACAGG